rnacentral:lncRNA from 1 species
CCCGAGAUCCCUUAUUCAGAGACAAGCCUCCCUCGCCUUUCCUGUCUAGGGUGUCUCCCCUGGAACAAGACAACAGGAGCAGCGGGUCAGCCAUCUGACGGACACUCAGCCUCGCCUUGGCUUCAGAUGAGAACACCUCUGACACUACAAGGAGCAGAACCUCCCAGAAACCCAGGCCGUGGUCCUGGGGUCCCAGUUCCUACUCUGAUCUCUGGUGUCUGCUGCCUGGUACUAUGGGGUUCUCUGCCUCAACUCAUUUUAGCUUCUGACGGCACGAGGAGAAUAAAAGGUACAUGUACAGCCAAGGAAGACAACAAUUUCCUAACGUGG